rnacentral:rRNA from 1 species
GUGCGUAACGCGUAUGCAACCUACCUUUCACAGGGGGAUAGCCCGGAGAAAUUUGGAUUAAUAUCCCAUAAUAUUGUUGGAUGGCAUCAUUUGGCAAUUAAAGUUACGAUGGUGGAAGAUGGGCAUGCGUCCUAUUAGCUAGUUGGCGAGGUAACGGCUCGCCAAGGCGACGAUAGGUAGGGGUCCUGAGAGGGAGAUCCCCCACACUGGUACUGAGACAGGGACCAGACUCCUACGGGAGGCAGCAGUGAGGAAUAUUGGUCAAUGGUCGGAAGACUGAACCAGCCAUGCCGCGUGCAGGAAGGCGGCCUUAUGGGUUGUAAACUGCU